rnacentral:rRNA from 1 species
UCCAGGCCCUACGGGGUGCAGCAGGCGCGAAACCUCCGCAAUGUGAGAAAUCGCGACGGGGGGAUCCCAAGUGCCAUUCUUAACGGGAUGGCUUUUCAUUAGUGUAAAGAGCUUUUGGAAUAAGAGCUGGGCAAGACCGGUGCCAGCCGCCGCGGUAACACCGGCAGCUCUAGUGGUAGCAGUUUUUAUUGGGCCUAAAGCGUCCGUAGCCGGUUUAAUAAGUCUCUGGUGAAAUCCUGCAGCUUAACUGUGGGAAUUGCUGGAGAUACUAUUAGACUUGAGAUCGGGAGAGGUUAGAGGUACUCCCAGGGUAGAGGUGAAAUUCUGUAAUCCUGGGAGGACCGCCUGUUGCGAAGGCGUCUGACUGGAACGACUCUGACGGUGAGGGACGAAAGCUAGGGGCGCGAACCGGAUUAGAUACCCGGGUAGUCCUAGCUGUAAACGAUGCGGACUUGGUGUUGGGGUGGCUUUGAGCUGUCCCAGUGCCGAAGGGAAGCUGUUAAGUCCGCCGCCUGGGAAGUACGGUCGCAAGACUGAAACUUAAAGGAGUUGGCGGGGGAGCACCACAACGCGUGGAGCCUGCGGUUUAAUUGGAGUCAACGCCGG